rnacentral:misc_RNA from 1 species
UCCGUUUUCACAACGGCAGUCUCUCUAGAGUCCCCGGCCGAACCGUUGGCAACUAGAGACAAGGGUUUCGCUCGUUGAGGGACUUAACCCGACAUCUCACGACACGAGCUGACGACAGCCAUGCAACACCUGUCCACGUUUCACCCUUGCGGGCAGGGUAUCCAACUUUCAUCGGACCCAUCCGUGGAUUUCAAACCCGGGUAAGGUUCUUCGCGUUGCUUCGAAUUGAACCACAUGCUCCACCGCUUGUGUGAGCCCCCGUCAAUUCCUUUGAGUUUUAGCCUUGCGACCGUACUCCCCAGGCGGGGCACUUAACACAUUUGCUACGACAGAGAGAGUAUCGACACCCCCUCUACCUAGUGCCCAUCGUUUACAGCUAGGACUAC